GUGAGGUCACCGGAUGCCAUGGUCACCUUGUUAAACAGGAACAGAUCGCAGGCUUACCAGGAUUUAAGCGAAGACGAUCAGAUAGCCGUGCAUGAGUACAAGAACGCUAUACUAAGAAAGGCAAGAACGAUGAAGAACAUGGAUACGCGGCUGAGCUUUUACGAGUCGGUCAACCUCCAGGGCUGCACUAAAACAGUUUUCUCCAGAUGGACCAUUGCUAAUAGCGACUCUACAGACCUAACCUUCGCC